GCAGUGUUGGAUAAUUUAAUUUUUCUAUGUUUUUUCUGGUAACUAUGUUAGUAUUAUGAGAUGUAUUUAGAUCAUAUUUUGGGCUGUAUAUCCCAAGUACAGCCCUUAACAUUCAGCGGCUGUUUACAGCAUUGUACAAAGCUGCUAUCGUUUACUGUAGCAGAAAUACAUCAGAAGGUAUGUGUUCCAUAUGUAACACACUUUCUGGUGUAUUGGUACCUAACAACUGAAACUUCACAUUUACAUGCCACCCAAUUUCAGGGUGGGUGGCUGCUAUAGACUCAAGAAUGUUUACUUUCCCCUGGACGAGAGACACAGUUCUGCUGUGUCCUCUGCGAGGACACCAUCAGCUAUGGCCUCACCUCCUUCAUCACUGUGAUGAUCGACAACAACCAAGACCAGAUGAGGUAGCAGCAUCUUACCUUUCUGUCAGCAAUGGGCAGACAAUGGACAGACCAUCACUGUUGGACAACACAGGGACACCUUUACCUUCAUGCCAGUCCCAGUCACUAUUCCAAGCAGAGGAUGAAGUAACACCUGCUUGCCUUUGCCUCCCCUUUUCUCUGGCUCUAAAAUCUGAAACAAGGGACCACCACUGCCUGCCUACCUGACAGCGCUGAGGAGUCUUCACAACAGAAGGUCUGCCUCUGCUAUGAUCACUCCACUUCACACAGUGGAGACCAUCAGCACUUUAAAGAAAGCUAAAGAUGACAAGAAGCUGAACCAUGCAGCCUUCCUAAACUACUCUGUGUACGAUGGCACUGGACAGAAAUGUUGUCUUGCCCUGUGUUCAAGGUAUUUGAUUAUUGUAGAUUAUGUGACUUUUGAACAUGUUUUCUGCAUAGUCUGCAGUUUAUUACAACAACUUUUGGUUUUCUCUUGUCAAGAACUGCUUCAUUCUUCUACAUCCACAGCAUUGCAUCCAAUGCUGUGCCCAGUUCAGUAGGGCCUAACAACUGUUGACGUUCAAGUGAUCAGGUGAACUGAUGCGGGGAACCAAACUCAUGCCCAUCAUUCCUUAGUUUGUCAUCACUGUCACAGAAACCGCUCCUCCUCAGUGCAGCAUUAUACUUCCCCCUAAACCAGUUGUAAAGGCCUCUGCUCCUCCAUGUCACAACAGUGAGCUAUCCUCACAACAAAGAC